rnacentral:rRNA from 1 species
GUGGGGAAUAUUGGGCAAUGGGCGCAAGCCUGACCCAGCAACGCCGCGUGAAGGAAGAAGGCUUUCGGGUUGUAAACUUCUUUUACCAGGGACGAAACAAAUGACGGUACCUGGUGAAUAAGCCACGGCUAACUACGUGCCAGCAGCCGCGGUAAUACGUAGGUGGCGAGCGUUAUCCGGAUUUAUUGGGUGUAAAGGGCGUGUAGGCGGGACAGCAAGUCAGAUGUGAAAACCAGAGGCUCAACCUCUGGCCUGCAUUUGAAACUGUUGUUCUUGAGUGUCGAAGAGGUAAUCGGAAUUCCGUGUGUAGCGGUGAAAUGCGUAGAUAUACGGAGGAACACCAGUGGCGAAGGCGGAUUACUGGACGAUAACUGACGCUGAGGCGCGAAAGCGUGGGGAGCAAACAGGAUUAAAAACCCUUGUAGUCC